AAAACCAGUGAUUUGGCGUGCACUCAUCUCUGCGCCGUGUACUCUGUACUCUAGUUACAAUUUUCGUUUCACUUUCGUUUGCAGCCAAUCAAACUGGAGAAGAGGCGGCUUUACUACUGCCUUCCUGUUUUAAUGCCGGUAUAUCUGGUGGCAGCAGACAAAGGCAGACAAAAGGACGGUAUUAGCAUUUGCUAAUUACGAAUAUAUAAAUAUUCCCCGUCUCCUCAUUGAACACCAAUCCAACAAAAGUCCCGUGUCUGUGUUGAAUCCAUUUUCCCCUGUUAAUAUUUAAUCGCCUGGUUGCACAUGCAUCCCUGUUCCGCAGCCUCAUCAGCUGUUUUGCCAGACUCGCCAACUCGCCUUGCCAAAGGGCGUUUUUUGAAGCGUCCGCGCCUGUUGCUACGCAUCUCUGUGUGAUCUGGGCCCAUUACUGUCUGUCUGGAUAAACCUAUAUUCAACUCUGUGUGAAACGCUCCAUUUAGCGCAUCUCGAGGGAAUUGAGCUCGGGUCCAUGUGGAUUCCUUUCAGUUGAUGUAACACUGAGACGUGAAAAUAUUUAGAAUUUUUACGUUUAAAACUAUGAAAUGUUUUAUAGCGGUGGCACAAGCUUAGAAAAAUCUAUUUUUCCAUGAUUCCAGCCUUUCAAUACUUCACAAUACGUACAAAUCCCUUUCCAGAGGGCAGCAAUGGUGAAGAGGUCGUGGCUGGGGUGGAUUUUCUUUCUAGUAAGCUCCUCUUCUAGCCAAUAUCACUUAUGCUCAGUGAGUGGAUGCCAAUCAUUUUCUGGGUGGUUUUAAUCACCCGCUCUGGAGCCCUCCUGUCCAGUAUCUGUAAUGUUUCCAGUCAGCAUGCUUUCCGCAGCCCUUCUGUAAAAGCCAUUUGGUGACCACGUCAGGUUAUUUGUGAUGGUGAUUCCCAGGAGCAGAGAGCUGCUAACUUGCAAAACCUGACCUCUGCAGACAGAGGUGUGGGUCUUCAACUCCAUCCUUUCAAACAUCAGCUCCUUGGUUUUACUCCAUGAUUGGAGACAGACAUUGUGUAUGUCUCCACACAUCAUUCUCAGUCAAUUAAGUCUAAGAAAUGAUUCACAGAUCACCGUCAAACGAGGAGGCUAGACUAAAUAAGGGAUGAAAACCUGCCCCAUCAGGACGACCAGGGGCAUGGGCUCGUGCCACUGUAAUGCCGCGUAGCCUUUCAGGGAGGAGAACUGCUUGCCGUUGCACAUCCUCAAUAAUAUCUCUCUGCAUACAUAAAAAGGAAGACGGGGAGGCACACAGGAAAGCCCGAAUUGUUUAUGGUUGCAAUAUAGAUUUUUAUACAGCUCCCAGGAAAAGGGAAUUACGUCUUAAAUUACAAGGAUGCCUCCCGAGUUGUCAGCAGCAGGAGUUAUGCCGGCAUGGCGGUUAGUGUGGCUGUGGGGCUGAAGGGGGGCACUGGGGAGCUGCAGGCUCUGGAAUGGGGCUCAGCAGAGCCAGCUGACCUACAGUACGCACAGUCAGCUCAAAAUAACAAAGUUACUCAAACCCCCUGAUGAAACAAUGGCCCAGAUGAGGCCAACGUGUGAAGCACAAAGAAGCAGAGGAUGGUAGAAAAUACGAAAGACACACACAGAGUAUGGGCACAAACACACACACACACUACUUUGUUCAAGUGUAGAAUGUAAACCAAGGCCAGCUCAAAAUUGUUCCUAUUCUGAUGUCUUUUCACAGCCUAAAUCAAACAAUACCUUUUUGGAGGCCAACUGCAGAAGUUAGCAUCGCACAGGAUGCCUCAACCACGACAUUCAUUUUUGAGAGAGAAGAGAAUUCUCACAAAUGAACACAUUAGAAUUAAGAAGGGUAUUUAUGGAAAUAUUGAAUAUUGAAUAUUAUGUUAAAAUAUCUCAAACUUGCAUCAACCGAACAACUAAUUUAAUACAAACCUUGACUUCAAGAUGAGGGAAUACAAAGUUCUUAAAGGGCGACUCAUUUCCAUGUUCAGUACUGCAGCAAAUGAAAUUGCUCACAGGAUAAAUGUCAGCGAUUAGUUAUUUGGAAUCUAGAAAAGGAGGAAAAAGUCAAGUGUGUGAUAGCAUUGUUGAGUUCAAAAAUAAAGAGGACAAAUCUAGAUAUUAUAAAUUCAUAAAAAAAUUAAACUGCGAGCAUUUGUGGAUUUUAAUUAGUAUUUUGUUCCCUUUAAUGAAUAAUGAAAACCCUCAAAUUACUUAACUUGUUUUCGCCAAUGAAUAUUUGUAUCCAUCCACAAACACAUAGGCUAUUGGGCUCAGCAAUUACUCAUUAUUCCUACUUAAAUUGGGCUAAUAUUGUUAAGUUAGCAUAACAGUAAGGACUGAAGUUGCAGGAUGGGGUACCUACUCAGGUCAGUGGAGAAGGAGCCGAUCCGAUGGUUAGCAGCAGUACGUUACUGCAUGCAUUCCACCCGUCCUGUCAUGGCGUUACGCCAGUCAAUACAUUUUUGUAAUCAAUAGCCAUGGGUCAACAAACCCCUGCAGCCCUGUAAGAGUUAGACGAGAAGACCAAUACCAGUCACAUCUGUUCAUUUAAUGUGAAGCCGAAUCCAGCAGCCAGUUAGCUUAGCUUAGCUGCUGCCCAUUGGUUGCAAAUCAUCUUUAUUGCUGCCUUAUGAGACUGGCUGAGCCUCAUCCCAUAGCAUUACAGUGUCAUCUGAUCCUAAGACAGUAGAAGUAGAACAGUAUUCACAGAGGUGGCCCACUUAUAAAAUGGCAAUCCUAACUGUCCAGCCGUCUAGGAGAAUCAAACCCUGCAUUACUGUGAACUUUGUGUAACUGGAUGUAAGCUGAAAAGGCAAAAAGAGCGCAAAAGGGUGAAACACAUCCUCCGGGUCCUUGCUUAAAGGUUACAGAGGAGCAUUUAGCCGUAUAGUUUACAGUUCCAAGUAAACAAAAACAAAGGUUACCCAAUAAUAUUUGCCAAUAACAAUGUACUAACCUCCACUCCUCUGUACAAAGUCACGUGUCCGUGUUGAUGCUGCAUAACAUUUUUAUCAAAUACUUUAUUGAAAUACUUUAAUACACAUUUAAAUUUACUGAGCGAAAAGAAUAUUCAAAAUUAAUUUAAAGAAUGUUGAAUUAUUAGUAGGCUAUAUUGGCAUAGUAUUGAAAUGUGUAGAAUUAACAUAUAAAUCGUACUGAAGCAGUAAUGGCAAUUGAACUGGAAAAGUGGGACGAAUCUGUACAUAUGUUGCUUUUUUUGGUCUUUUGCUAUUCGUUUGGACUUGAAAUCUAAGAACUAAUUUUAUCGACAAGCUUGAAUAGGGCAAGUUUAAACGGGAAGUAAUGAAAGUGUGCGUGCUCCCAAGGAACCAAAGCGUGUAAUGUGAGAUGAGACUCUUUAACGAUAACGUACGUACACCUCUGCUCACGGUGCUGAAGCCUAACGCCCCCGCGCUGCCGUUCUAUUAAGGUCAAUUACUCACAGGACAAUUAGGGUGCGUGUAAAAUAUUCUCAUUGGAGGCGGAUGCAGGACAAAUGCGAUGAUGAGAGACGUCCCCCCCCCGUAUCUCCCCUAUGUGCCCUUGAUUUCAAGAGAUUGACAAUUGGCCAUUAACAAGCCUGUGCCAAGGGGGCCAACUGUGUGGCCCUCAACAGCAUGUCGUUAGCCUUAUCAUGGGACAUCUGGUUUGGAUCACAGGUCUAGGAGAUGGACGUCUGCCAGCGGAUCUCGGGUUCAAAUGUCUUACGAUUCAUUAUCCAUAACAGUUGCCAUAAAAAAGGAUAAAAUAUACAUAUUUUGUAAAAUGUAUGUAUGCUGGUGAUAUUCAGCUUACCAUGUUACAGCUCUGUAAUGUAAAGUUCUGAGGAUUUUUGCAUCAUUAAACCAUCCCUGUUGUCUCAUCUAAAUACCAAAAAUGUUGACCUUCUACAGGAAGAAACGGUCGGUAGCAUUUAUUCUCUGGGGAACAUGACUGUCACUGACAAAAUUCGGUGGCAGUUUUAGUAGUCAGAGAGACCAUCACUGCCGUCCCCAGAGCCCCUCUGCUAAUUCCCAUGAAUAUCUAAAAUACUAUUUCAGGAACAUAUUGCUCCAAAGUAAAAAUGGGAGGUCAAAACAUCUUUGAUUCUAGUGUCAAUUAGAGACAUUUUAAAGAGAAAAUUAAAAUUCAGCAACGGUAUGGGUUAUGUAGUUUGACUCUUCAGUAGCAAUUUUAUUGAAGCCGUUUGUAGCCCAAUUACUGAGCCCCCUGACCACAUGCUUUAAAUAUGCUAUUGAAUAAAGUAAUGAAACAUUGGUAUGAAUUUUGCAGGCCGGCUGCUUUGCUUUGACAGAGGAUGUGAGGCAAAGGAGAUCAAUGGAAAAACACCAUGGGAAACCUUUGACUUGCAACACCUAUGUGACAAAUGGUCGGUAACUCAGUGACGCUACAUUCUGGUUCAACACACAGCUAAUUUACUUUACUCGCAAAAGUCACUAAUCUAUGUCGCUUUCCACCCGGUUUGUCCGUUCAACUCUGGCCACUUGGAGUGACAUGUUUUUUCGCUACUCCCGUACAUCCCCAAAUUCCACAACAGGCAGGAGAUGAGAAAACAAGCCUUUUUGAGGACAGACAACAGUACUUGCCUGAUUUGUUGAGCAAAUCUACCCGUCUCUCUCAUCGUUGUCUGAGUCGGGCUUUUGGGUUCCAUCGUGCACCGGUACCAGUAACCAUCACGGCAACAAUGAAUAGCAGAGAGACCUCUGGCAUGAAUAUAGUGGCCAAUAAUUUGGGAAUUCCAUACAAAGCUAUGUACAGACAGAGAAUGUUUUUAAUUAGGUUGGACGGCAUGAAUGGCCAGAAAAGCUGAGUCAUCACUUUUCUAAGCAAAACUGCUACGCUGCCUUCAUGCUGAGGCGGUGUUUGAAUAUUCCCACUAACAUACUAAGUUUGACAUAAAAGGAAGUGUGUAUGUUUACGCUGUAUAGCAGUGUAUGUGGAUUUGAUUCUGGAUUCAAAAAACUUCAUUUUUGAAUAGGUUUUCCGGCUGGAACAAGUUCCCUCUAUAUUCCCAAUAGGCGGCCAUUUUAUCCAAAUAAACACCUGUCUUGCUGCCACCUUUUCUAGAGACACGACGGGGUCGCUUAAGACCAGCCCGGCCAUCACUUGAGCGUACUUUGGCCUGCUGAUAAGAUCAUACCCAGCUGUUAAUUUAGUUGGCGUCAUUCAAUACAUAUUGAUUGAGAGCCGCUCCAUACUCUGAGACCCAUCGGCACUUUGAUCUAUUUUCACGUUAACCCCAAUAUGCUCUGACUGACUUGACCCUGGAAAGUAAAAAUAACACCCCGGUGUCAACAGACAGAAUCAUGUGUCAGCUGACUUCAGCGAAGCAUAGCAAGGCAAUAUUGCGCUGUUUGUCUGUUUAUGGAUGUGACUCCUGUGGCCGGGGGAGAUGGCCACAGCCAGGCCAAAGGGCUCCUAGCUGGGUAAUAAAUCACCGGGAUGACAGGAAUAGUGGCCUUUGCAUUGUGACACACUUACACAACACAUGUGCACUACAUUACACAAUUUCACCGUGCACUUUACCCGUAACAAAUAAUGUACCAUUGGAGGCUGACAGGUUUCUUUAUCGAUAUCCUAAUGACUCGUGCCUCAUCACCGUCGCAAUAUAUCGUCUUCAUUGUUUUUUACAGUUGACGACUUGGUUUUAGCUGUUUUGUCAUUUGUAAAGACAAUAGCUUGGUAGGUUGUAGGAUUUUCAUCAGCCCCGAGAAUAAUGUCACAACAUGUGCUUGGUCUCAUGAUUGAUAUUGCACAAAAAACAAAUCAAUAAGCCAAAGCGUCGCAUUCCCUAAGAUACCCAAUCUAAUCAAAGCCAUCAAUCCUGCACGUCCAGCAUGGUCUGUAGUCAUUACCUGCCCGUAGAGCCGAAGGCUAUUAGAGCUGGAGCUACCUAGUGAGCUGAGCAGAGUACCUUGAACAUUAGUGUAGUCAAACACCCUCAGCACAGCAGGAUGAAUGAACGGCGGGCUUGUGGAGCCAGCAAAGCAUGAUCACACUAAUGGGCCAUGGUAAAUGGACCAACUAUGGGUAGCAUUGGCCGACUGGCCUGCUCCGUGAUCCAGAGCUGUGCCCAUUUCACGGUGUCUGCCCGGGACCUCACUCACGGAGAUGGAGAGCUUUCAUAUAGGGGCCCACAUUUUAAGAAAAAGGUUUGUCAGAGAUGCUGGGACAAUCAUUGGAGACAAAAGGAAACUGUCUGUACCUGUUAAGCUAUACGAUGACUGACGUGGCAACGUAGGGGAAAUCGGUCUUCGCUGACCCUUGAACACUCGGUUCAUCUGAUCAAAACCAUAGCAAGCCAGGGGAAUAGAGAGCACGAUGGACAAUCCAUUUUACCCAUUAUUUGUCAAUUUGAUAACCGAUGAAAAUUCCAACAAUAUUGGAUAAAGUCAAAGUUGGUUGAAAGAAACGAAUUUAAGAUAAUACAACAGCAACAAUUUAAGAGCUAUGAUACCAAUCAUUUAAGGUUAGGGACAAUUUGGCUCCAAUUUGUAUUUUAACAUGUUGCUACCAUGAAGAAGCACGUAAGCACAAAAUCCAUGGCAACUCUAUAGUACCUCACAGCAUUUAUAUAUUACUAUAUUUCACCGUAUUUUAAUCCAAUAUGUAUAAAGAAAAGCGGUGAGCAGAAUGCCGUGAUCAGCAAGUGUUAUCUGGCACACAUUUUAAAUGAUCUCUCAAUUAGUCAUUUAAUAGACAAAUGAUUUAACUAUAGCGACAUGUCAUUUUCAAUAAAGUACUGUUUGUUUUAACAAUUUGUAUUACAUACUAAAAAACGUUUUUGCGUCUUCCUUCAGAGCGAGACAUUCCGUGCAGUUUUUUUCUUCUUCCUUCAAUUCCCACUAGAAAAUACAAAAAAUAAUGGGUGUAAAUCAAGCAACGUCUCAUUGUGGCCUCCAGCACUGCCUCUGAUCCAAACAAACUCAUGACAUUAACAGCAGCUGGCAAGUGCAAAAAGCUGAGCAAGCCUUCUUCUCCUGUUAAUGGCCAAUUUUCAGCUGAAGGACGGAGGUCAGACGUCAGUGGCAGUCAGGCUGAUCACGUUGCAUGGGACGCCUCACGUUAUAGCGCAGUAUUGCACAUUUAGUUUUUCCUUUAGGAAAGGUCAGGACCAAGUAGACAAGUGGGGACCUUUGGCAAAAGCUUUAUCAUUCCAUAUGUAAUGAUAAUCAAUAAGAGACACGAGCUACGCUGGAUUAUAAGUCUUGCCAUCCGAUCUUCACUGCAUGCUACAGUAAACACAUUACCAUGUGAUUCAAAUUAUUACACAGAUGAAGUAAUGUAUAGCUCCAGAGUAUUGUAGGAAGUUGUGCUCUGAGACAACGCAAACUACUUCCAUUGCCAUCCUGCACAGAUAAUGGAAUAAAUAUAUAAAAUACCUAAUGCACACACUAACUCUGCCAAUCAAAAGCAAUCAAUGCAUCCAUUGUCCAUUAGCUUCACACACAGCUCGCAGAGGGGGGGGGGAUCCAGAUGAACGCAGAUGAACCCAGCUGCAUUCGGCGAGAGGCAUAGGUCAACAUGAUCAGGUUGCCAGUCAAUCGCAGGGCUGACAUGGAAACGACUAUUCUCAUCCGCACGUGUGAGUUAACAAGGCUCCCACAAUAACUGAAAAUAAGGUGUAUAUCAUCUUUGGACUGUGUGGGAGGAAACAGGAGCAUCCCGGGGAAAAAAACAAACAUGCAGGUAGAGGAAGAACAUGCAAUAUGAAUGCAGUAAGGACCCAGCAAGUCGGAAGGUAGUUGCAUAAUUUCAGACCUAGCCUGCAACAGCCAGAGGACUCCUCACGGCUUUCCCCAGUCUAUUCUGUCUGAAUGUCUCUUUAGACCCCUUACUUUUGUGGAAUUGUGCAGUAACUGUGGAGAGGGCACCAGGCAGCAGUCACAGACUGUGAGCUAAUCAACUUAGGAAGCAAACAACUCAUGUAGGAGGGAAAAGGCCAAAUUCUGAACCCUGUAAAUGACAAAUACCAAUGAGGGGACAUUAAUGCAAAAGGACACACUAAGUUAUUGUACUGUGAAGUCUAUAAAUCUAUCAGAAAGGUCAAAGUGGCUUUUAGCUCGCAUUAAUCACACCGAGAGGCGGAUAAAAAUACAAGGAGGCACGGUGAAGGUGAAAGAAGCUUCCUCUUCCCCCGCUUUCUUUCUUCUGACGGAGUCACUAAAAUUGCUCACAUUUGUUCCCAUUACUCCCAAAAAUGCUCUUCAGAGGGCAGUCUUUCGCGGGGGUGGAUCUCUUGCUCACACUGUUAAUCAAGGUGUUAUUUUUGACGUGGGAGCUUGGAUUUAUAUUUUCCCAGUGGCUGUGCCUCGUGUUUAGUGUUAUUUUCAUGAUGUGUAAGCUGUUAAAGAAACAUUUACCUGGUUGUUUGCCCUCCUUCAUACAAACUUAUCUUAGUGUCUAGUUUCAUACAGGGUUUCAGUGGUGUGCUUAUCGGGUGUAAAGAUCCGGAACAGGUCGAUUUCCACCUCUCCAAACUCAAAUACUUUAGGUGAUACUGCAACAAAUAUUUCGGUAUAUUCCUGUGUAAGGGCAUAUGAAUCAUAGCUAUGUCAGGAAAAUCAACCCCCUGCAUCUCUUCCCCACAUUUUUACCAAAUAUCGUUUUCAUAAUCUCUCGUACACGCUUGGUGUGAGUUUGUGUAUUUAUCUUUGGUGAAGCCUUGUGUGUGUUUGCAAGUGUUCAGAUUGGCUCUUAAGAAGGUUUAAAACCCGAAGCCAAUGACAACUGCACGAGUGUUGCAAGAACGGAGGAGGAGACGGACUCUAGUAGCCAAGAUUGAUCUGAGAAAUAAAAAACAUAAAAAUAACCAAAUCCGGCUUUCCUCAAACAAGAAAAACUGAAUUAUUAAAACAAAAGUUUAAUUCUCCGUCUGGUCAUUAUGACAUGUUUUAUUACCCAUCAGUAAUACAUAAAGCAUUGGGGGUUGUUGUGGCGCAGGGUGUAGAGCGGGUACGCUGGGAAGUGCAAGGUGGGAGGUUUGAGUCCUGGCUGCCCGAUGUCUCAAGUCGAAGUGUCCCUGAGCAAGACACCUAACCCCUAAUUGCUCCCUGGGCCAAAUGUAAAAGCCAUGGGUUUAAAGUGUAAUGUAAGUUGCUUGGACACAUAGCAUUCUUUUUACCAUAUACUUCAUGGAGUGCCUUUUUUCCCCACACAUGAUGUUGCAAUAAUCAGCUUUAUCCUUUCUCAAAACAAUGUAUUGAUGCAUUUCUUACUUCAAAACCAAAUUUUUAAAACUCCUAGUUCAAUCUACAAGUUUUUAUAAUCAGGAGCAAGACAUUCUCUUCACAUCUAAGUACCAGAAACUAAAAACAUUCCUCUUUGAAAAACGUAAUAGUUGGUGCUGGCUCAGGGUUGCCUUGGACCACUAGUUAUGCUGCUAUGGUUCUAGAUGGGGUACCUAGGACAUAUUGUGGUUUUCGCUCAUGCUUUCCUUCUCCACAUGCAAUCAAGUCUACUAUUAUUUCUAUACUAUUCUACUAUACUCAUUGAUAUCAUUAUACAACAUCAUUACAGCGAUCAUUAUAGCUGCUGUGCCAUUAUUGUUGUUGUUAAGAAGCUCUGUAUGUGUCUCUUUCGGCAGAAGGCCGCCAAGCCAGAUCCCAAUUCUGCUCAAGUGUUCCAACCAAUAAACGGAUUGCCAGUGAUUGCUUGUGGAAGCAUUUUUUGUCUGUCUAAAAUAUAAUACGCUAUACACUCUAGAUCUGCUAUAUUAGAAAAGUGUCUCAUGAUCAAUUCGGAUUUGUUGCUUUAUGAAUAAGUUGAAUUGAAAUGCUGAUUAUGUAUUAGGAUUGUGCUGGAGGAGGAAAUGCAAUCAAAGAUCAAAGGGGGUGUCACACUCAAGCAAAGGCCAUCGUCUCCUAUCAGAAAAUCUAUCCAUAAUUUAUCAACUAAACAAGUAAUGCACCUUGGCCCUCCCAUUGUUCCUGUGCCUUUAUCUUUUCCUGGCUGCAAGGAAGAUGAGGAAGAACACAAAGCCUGCAGAGAAAGAGCCCUAUAGAGACCAGAGGAUAAUGACCUAAGUGUGGGUUUCUGCAUACAGCCACACACCUAUCUCAUAAUUAAAAUGAGUUAAUUAAUUACAGAAAAACACAUUUUCAAAAGGCAUUUAAAAUGUUUAGUGCAUAUUGCAUUUAAUACUGCCACCACACACUGUCCCUACAGGGUUCUGCCACGCAAUGCAUCUAAUUCUUUGUCCUCUUUUUGGCAUUGAAAAUGUAUUUGUCUAAAGGCUGCGAUCCAUCUUGUUUUCAAUUUAGCUUCAAGCAAAUCUAUAUCCCAGCAUGCAUCUAUAUCCCAGCAUGCAUUUCUUAUAAUUAUAUAUGGGUCCAAAUUCAUCUUUUUUUGACAGGCUUGUCUCAUUUGUUAGCCUGUGUGUGCUACUUAGCGCUGCUUUUUAAUGUUCCUAUCAAGUUGCUUAUGCGAGGGAACACCUGGUUUACGGUCACAUCUCAAUCGAGUUUUUCAUUACGUAAAUGCACUUCUGAAUUAUUUCAUUUAAAGAAAAGAACAUGUUGCCAAAACAUGACAGCUGAAUUGCUAUUGUUAGAACUGUGCCCACAGAGCAAAUACAACGAAAGGCAAACAAAAUCGGACCUCAGCAAAAUGUAACCUUUGAAAAAUGAUUCUAUCUUUAAUAUUCAUGCAGCUCCCUCAAAAUCCAGCAGUUGUUUGCAAUACCAUAGCUAAAUAGGAUAAAUAAUUUAGCAUCCUUGUUUUAGGCACUGUAAUAAGGCUGAUGUCUUUAUAGAGUGGGGGUCUGGCUGGCUGUGCAGUUUGUAAGUGAGAUGGAUGAGGCCUUAAGCCUAAACUGCUGAGGGGUAAAGUAAGUUAGGCUGUACUGCUACUCUCAAAAUGGCAGCGAGAGGGCCAACCUCAUCCCUCUGCAGAAAGAGCCCCACGCUACAGUCAGCUCGAGGAACAGGAUUCAAAUUGCGAAUGAAGCUAAGAGCAAUUUAAAAAAAGGCACAAGAUUGGGAAGGGUUAUCUAAAUAUACAUUACCUGAAAUACAUGCAUAUGUGUUUGUAUGCAUGUCUAUUCAAUUUGCUACGAGUCUGGCAUUAAUUGUAUAAAUGACUAAUUAUGAUAUUCAAUGUGCUCGUAAUCAACCUUAACGUAAAUGAAAUUUUUUUGUAUCUUAGUGAAAGUGGUGUUGUGUCUCCAGGUCUGUAUAAUUACAUCUAAAAGAGAGCACGGUCAAUUAAAGCUAAAUCCAUUAAAUCUGUCCUAAAUUCUGAAAAAAUAUAUAUUUAUACAUAAAAUAUAUUAUUAUUAUUUGUGUCGUCUCUUUCAAUUAUCACAUUAAGGGUGUUGCAAACUGGUUCCCUAAUUUGUUUUAUAUUAUCAGAUACUACAAGAGCAGGAGGACAGCAGAGAAACACAAGUAGCUUUCACCUUGCAUGUAAAAUGUCAGUUGGUCACUUGGCAGUACACGCAGGAGCCUCGUUUGAUGCCCAAUAAAUGAAUGACAAUAUUUUACCAGAGCAGUCAGGCAAAGGACUUGGUUGCAUUUUAAAACAUCUCCUGACCUUUCCUCGGUGGCGGUAAUUGCUAAUACCAGACAUGGAAAGAAUGUAAGUCUCUUAUGCGCACAGCGAGAAGAAUGUGAUGUUUGGCGUCGAGAGCGCGUCGGAGUAAUAUGGACUGCAAGUCAAGUCACAAAAGGAAUGUACACCAAGGUUCCACAGAUACCUCAACUAAUAAAAAGCUAAACUUUGCAUCUUACUUUCUUUGAAACGAUUCAAAUUGAUCUGGGUCUCCUUUUCUUUGCAUUACUCUCCGGGUCAAAGAGCUGGAUGGCGGAUGGUGGAUGGUGGUGUGACAACAAAUCCAUUCCUCCUCUCUGAUUCCUCCAUUGCUUCUUCCCAUGUCAAGAGACAGAUCAGAGAUGAGAUUAGAGAGACAUAAAGAUGACUCAAGCAGUUGAAAAAAGAUCCACUUGAACAGAAGACACAGUUUCACUCUGGAGCACCAUCAGGAAACUUUCUCUGCCAGUGAGCGUGUCGAGAGGAAUUCAUCACUGGCAGUAGAAAUAAAGCUCCUUUCAUAUUGAGUUAUUAAGUCUCAAUCUUCCAGAGUCAUUCUUGCUGAUAAAAUACAGUCUUAUAUCUAAAUAAGUAAAAGUCUAAAGCUCUUUCUGGGACGAAUCUUUUUUUGAUGUGAUGGAAACUCUUUAGCUCACGGGUAGAGCAAGUAAAUAAAUAAAUUGUGACAGAUGCACAUUUUUACAAGCACCACCAUGUGCUUUCUAAAAGUGCGGUGGUGUUUUCCCAUUAUGCUGCAUGGCUUGACAAAUAGCAACCACCAGACGUGGGUUCUCAACAGCCCCUCCGGUCAAAAAGGAGGCGGCACAUUAAUCACCUGGGUUCGUUGUUGAUCACACUAAUCACAAACGGAGGAGAGAUAGAAGGAAAUGUAUGUGUUUAUGUUGCCUGGAACAAGACUCCGGCAGGUGUUUGGUCUCGGCGCCAGUGCUCGCUCACUGGCCGUCAGUAUUACAGCCUUCAGCCAAAGAGACAGCUUGCGAGGCGCUGGCCCCUGAUCCAAGCACAUUAGUUUAAUGCCCAGAUCUGUGGAACUGUUCCUGACUCCCUCUCCAGCCCGGCACUGCAGCCAGAACGGACACACACACACACUCAUCUUACUGCCGCUCACAAAAGGCAAAGUACCAUCUUUAGAAAGCUUUAUUCUACUUUCUGUACCUGCUAUCUGGCAUCAAUAAAAAAACAACAGCUGUCGCAUGUGGCAAAGAUGUAUGCAUUCCAGCAUUUUGCAAAAACACAAUGCUAAAUUGGCUAAAGAGUGUCGGUGUGCAUUGCAUGAACAGUAUUCAUUUAUUUUGCCCCUGCUGUAGGCACAGCAUGUGCUAAUGAUUAGGAGUUAUUUACAAAACAAGAUCUAUGCAAGCAGAUCACUGAGUAAAUACACACAGCAGGUUUUCAGAUGACCAAUUGCAGCUUAAAAAUAAGCCCAUCCAUCCUUGUAAAUGCCAUCAGAUGGAGACCAAAGGGGCAACAAGCCAAACCAUUUACCCAUGUGUGAGCGCUGAGGAGACACAAUCUGUUCAAGAUAAACGGAACCAGCAAAUAAACACCUGCAUGCAUAUUUAUACCGUACAUCCAAGCCCUCUAGGAUCUGGAUUCGAUUCUCAGUCAGCACUCAGAUGUCUGGCGUCUCUCUUCGUCUCACUCUCACCUGGAACAGGCAUGUUGAAGACAUCUUGACCGCUUCAGAAGACCCUGCAGAGGAUAUCUAGGAGCAAACAUCUUGAUUAUCAGUUGGAUGAGAGAAACUCCGGUCAGAUUUUUCAUUUGGCCAAACAGUUGGUGGGUAAAGAUUGGCUGAACAGGCUGUGUUUAUUAAAAAAAGAAUGUGGCCUAAGUUGUACGACGCAAAUUACAAUUGACUCAUUUUGAACAAAAAGAAAAUGCACAUUUAAUGUUAGAACAGAGAGUUGGGCCGGAUUCAAGCGGAGAUUACACACAAAACCCACACAACGCUGAUUCACACCUCUAUGAGAUUUAUUAUAUUUUUUGUGAAACUAAGCACCGGGUCUCAUUGGAAGAGGGCCAUAAAACACUCCACGGUUCCAUGUGCUCUGGCCUUGAUUAUAAAAAAAACAGCCUCACCUCCAAUUCUUUGUCAUCCCACACGAUGGAAGGCACGCACCAUGUUGUUGCUUUUUAAAAAAGGAACAGUUCUAAUUUCCCGGGACCAAAUAUAUAGACUCUUCCAGAUGUUUUACCUGCAGAGGGAGAAGCGAGGCUUCACACUCCAUUCGACGUUUACCGGUCGUAAGGACGGAUUUCCCUUCAAUUCCAAAGAAUUCACAUUGCGUAACAGAGAAUUUCUGGCCACAGCUUGGAGCAGCUGUCGCCAAGUUUAAAACAAAUGCGUAGGAACACACGGACCGUUAACUCAUCUCAUCUCACAGGAAAAGGCAUGAGUUUGGGGGUAGAUGAGUCUGUUUAUGAUGUUCAAACGUGUUGUUGUGUAUGUUUAUGAGCUACUGAGCUCCAACAGGGCUUGAUAUUACUGUUGUGUGCCAUGCUGUCGGUACGGAGUUGUUUUCAGUCGAUCAGUCGCAAAGAGUAAAAUCAGUAACUUUGGUUAAAGGUUUGCCUUUCUGGUUUCUAAUAUCAGGUAAUAUUACGAUGGUUUCCGUACUUAUCUAGUAAUCUCGGAUUUUUCUUGAAACAAUACACCAUAUUGAAACAAAAGACUAUACUGAUUCUUUGAAGAGGGAUGAAAAAGGACUAAAGUCCAGGUUGUAGAAGAUGGAUUUUUCCACACACAAACGCACAACGUACACACAGACCAGUCGGAAAGCUUUGUCAACAAUGACCUCCAUCACAGCCGUCCCGUGACACGUCUGAUGUGGCAAGAACAUCUGUUUGAAUAGCCUAUAAAUUAGACAUUGCAAAUGUUUGCACAGUUUAACCUUCUGUAGGUGUGGUUUGAUUGAGGAAUACAGAAGCAGAGCUGCCAGAGAGAGAAGUGAAGAAACCGAAAAUGGAACCAUUUGUCCAUUUGGCCCUUCUUACAGUCUUAUCACCACCGUUUCUUUAUGAAGAAUACAAUCCGGAGAUUUUAAACCUUUAAUUCACAAAUUGUUUUAGGCAAUGUUAUAUAAAAUGCAACAAUGCAAAACAGAAGUUGUCAUUUGAGUUGCGUUAUUGAGCUGUGCGCCUGUGUGUGUUGUACUCGACUUCUCUGCUUUGUUUACAGAGUUUGGCCGGGCUGCACGUUAAGUGCAGGUUUUUGCUUCAGACCUCCUUCGGCUUUUGAACGCUUAGCAGUACAGCCUCAACUAUUUGUGGCUUUUGUUUGCAGAGAAGAUAAUAACUCUCAGGGACAGCUACUUAAUAAAAGGGCGACAAAUUUUCCCAUCAAGUAACUUCCCAAUCAUAAGUUUGACAAUAUGAUAGUAUGCAUUAUUUUAGUAAAAGGGAAAUAUACCGGUAAUUAACUUUGCCUUCAAGUUAACUGUUUUACAAUUGUAGACAGCGGGUAUGUUGCAAGUUUACAAAUAACUGCAUUCCAUUGCACACCUGGUCUUUACAACACUGUCAAGAUACAACCUUAUAUCAAUAAUAAUAUUUCAAUACCCAUUUGCAUAUGUGAACAUUGAAAAGCCUCAGUACAUUGUGUUCUAUUAAUAGAUAGUGUUUCUCAUCACCUGAAUUAGAAAUAUAUCCUCCUCUGAUCAACAUCAGUACUCCUGUUCCACUGUUCAUGGUUGAAAAGAAGUUGAUGGUCUGUCUGCUUUCAGUUUGGUUUGUGAAGUUGCCUUUAGGCUCCUGACAAGGACAGCCGGCUUCACGCACCACCUGCCAAUAAUGUUAACGAAGACCCAGAGCCCACACACGCCGAGGUUGCCUGUUCCAACACUGGAGGGACUGCUAGCAGUUAUGGACGUAUCUUUUCCACAUGGCGUCCGGCUCUCAGUAAUCCUGCCUGCAGCUUGCAGUACUGCACAGCCUCCGCGCAGCCGCGGGACACAACACCCAUCGAGCGCACACUCUGGAUAGAAUCACAUGUCUCAUGUUAACGGCUGCCACUUUGUGCUUUUAUAAGGUUGUGCUGUAUGCAUAUCAUUGAAAAUAUCAUAUUAACUAAAUACGAAAAAGAAAUUAUCGGCCAAAAUAUAAUAUCUUAAAAUAUACAGUUACCAACAUAUUUACUAGAUUAAGACAUUAGAUCAAUGUAAAAAAAAAGCAUCGGCAUGCUGCCUCCACAACAUUUCUGCCUGAUUGUACACGUUUUAAGAUUGAUGCGGGGAAGCAAAGCAUGACACAUGCUUGAACACAACAUUUGUGGACCUGAACAACUGGCUUGUUGUGUAUCAGCAGUAUAAUUUCAUGGUGCUAAAGCAAUUUAAAUGGCGUCACUCCACUUCCACAACUGUGGCGUGCAUAAUAAAGAGGUGGUGAAAUCAUUUGUCAAGCAUUGAUGCGAGUUGUUUAGUACCCGGAGGAUGAGUUUUUCCACUUUCACAGGUCAUGCAAGGGCUUUGUUUUUCACUUAACUUUAAAGGAAUAAAAUGAUUAUCAAAGCGUUUUGUGGACUUGGGCUUGCCCGCAUAUGAGAGCUAAUCAGGUUUAAUGUGUAUGUGUGCUGCAAUUGUGUUGCCAAAACAGUCCCAAGGCUCGUUGCCUAUUACAAUAUUAAUGAAUUUCUAGUAAAACACGUUUUAAGCAAGUCCCAGAAGAGAUGGGAACCCAAAGCCCCCUCCCCUGAAGAUAGCUGUCAACUUGCGCUUCUCUUAUAAGCUUUAAACACUUUAUUGUUCUCAAAAUUGUUGCAUUAACAGGAUAUGGAACCUGAAAGUGUACUAUCUUAAUGUCAAAUUACUGGAUGUGUGCAACAUUAUGUACUUAAUUGAAUCAUUUGGAAAGGAAUGGGCUUCCACAAGCUCUUAUUUAUUUUCAUACAUACAUACAAAAGGAAACAUACAAAAGGAAAAGAUCAGAACAUUUUUGGGUCCCUUUGCAGAAUGUUACUAUUACGGUUUCUA
ensembl:lncRNA